GCCUCUAUAGCUCAACUGGAUAGAGCAUCGGUCUUCUACACCGGCGGUUGUAGGUUCUUAUCCUACUAGGGGCGCCA
rnacentral:tRNA from 1 species